rfam:Schistosoma margrebowiei strain Zambia genome assembly, scaffold: SMRZ_scaffold0000268
AUCUAGCUGACGAAUCUCAAAUAGAAUGAAACGCGCAUCCUAAAU